rnacentral:tRNA from 1 species
GGAGAGGUGGCAGAGUGGUCUAUUGCGGCAGUCUUGAAAACUGCUGAGUCGCAAGGCUCCGGGGGUUCGAAUCCCUCCCUCUCCGCCA